AUUGAACGCUGGCGGCAUGCCUUACACAUGCAAGUCGAACGGUAACAGGUCUUCGGAUGCUGACGAGUGGCGAACGGGUGAGUAAUACAUCGGAACGUGCCUAGUAGUGGGGGAUAACUACUCGAAAGAGUGGCUAAUACCGCAUGAGAUCUACGGAUGAAAGCAGGGGAUCGCAAGACCUUGUGCUACUAGAGCGGCCGAUGGCAGAUUAGGUAGUUGGUGGGAUAAAAGCUUACCAAGCCGACGAUCUGUAGCUGGUCUGAGAGGACGAUCAGCCACACUGGGACUGAGACACGGCCCAGACUCCUACGGGAGGCAGCAGUGGGGAAUUUUGGACAAUGGGCGCAAGCCUGAUCCAGCAAUGCCGCGUGCAGGAUGAAGGCCUUCGGGUUGCAAACUGCUUUUGUACGGAACGAAAAGCCCCGGGUUAAUACCCUGGGGUCAUGACGGUACCGUAAGAAUAAGCACCGGCUAACUACGUGCCAGCCGCCGCCGUAA
rnacentral:rRNA from 1 species